rnacentral:rRNA from 1 species
AACGAACGCUGGCGGCAUGCCUAACACAUGCAAGUCGAACGAGACCUUCGGGUCUAGUGGCGCAUGGGUGCGUAACGCGUGGGAACCUGCCCUUAGGUUCGGAAUAACUCUCCGAAAGGGGUGCCAAUACCGGAUAAUGUCUUCGGACCAAUGAUUUAUCGCCCUUGGAUGGGCCCGCGUUGGAUUAGCUAGUUGGUAGGGUAAAAGCCUACCAAGGCGACGAUCCAUAGCUGGUUAGAGAGGAUGAUUAGCCACACUGAGACUGAGACGCGGCCCAGACUCCUACGGGAGGCGGCAGUGGGGAAUAUUGGACAGUGGGCGGAAGCCUGAUCCAGCAAUGCCGCGUGAGUGAUGAAGGCCUUAGGGUUGUAAAGCGCUUUUACCCGGGAUGAUAAUGACAGUACCGGAAGAAUAAGCUCCGGCUAACUCCGUG